GAUGAACGCUGGCGGCGUGCCUAAUACAUGCAAGUCGAGCGAACGGACGAGAAGCUUGCUUCUCUGAUGUUAGCGGCGGACGGGUGAGUAACACGUGGAUAACCUACCUAUAAGACUGGGAUAACUUCGGGAAACCGGAGCUAAUACCGGAUGAUAUUUUGAACCGCAUGGUUCAAAAGUGAAAGACGGUCUUGCUGUCACUUAUAGAUGGAUCCGCGCUGCAUUAGCUAGUUGGUAAGGUAACGGCUUACCAAGGCAACGAUGCAUAGCCGACCUGAGAGGGGGUCCGGCCACCCUGGAACUGGACCAGGGUCCAGACCCCUAGGGGAGGAAGAGGUGGGAAAUUUUCCGCAAGGGGCGAAGGCCUGACGGGGCAACGCGGCGUGGGUAAUGAAGGUCUUGGGUUCGUAAAACCCUGUUAUAGGGAAGAACAUAUGUGUAAGUAACUGUGCACAUCUUGACGGUACCUAAUCAGAAAGCCACGGCUAACUACGUG
rnacentral:rRNA from 1 species